ensembl:lncRNA
AAACGAAGCAGUUCUUCAGCCGUUCACUGUUUCCCAAUCAGAUUCUCUACAACUCUCUCGGUUCAGCUUUUGUGUCAGCUCCAGUCAACUUCAUACUUCAGAACACUUUCUGUGUUUAGAUGGAGAACCUUCAUCCGCUGUGUGGUGACCAGUCUGCACCUGAACAAGCGUUUUCUUCUCUUUCACACUCAAACAUCCAUCAAGAGUCCCCAGAGCGCUGGCAGACUCCUCCUGAAGCCGGCGAGGCAGUACUAUCACAUCUGAACCCAGAAGAGACAAACACAGAGUCUGGUGACGAUCAGACUCCAGCUCUACUGGGUCUUCUGCCAGAAACAUCUGCUGCUGCUCACAGGAAGCUGGGGGACACUUCUCAGACGUCUGCCGGCUCAUCUCAGCUCCAUCAAGGCUUUCAGCCAACAUCUGAAGAUCCCGGACCCUCGUUCUUCUCAUCUCCAGCUCACGUCAAUAACACCAGUCGUCCUCCAAACCGUCUUCAUGUCCCUCCACCAGUCCAUCAGCAGACCGCUUCUCCUUUAAAUAUCAAACCAGUAGCUCUUUUUACAGAUAUUAACCCUUCUUUUCACAUACCUCGUGUCUAUCCUCACAUGAUGCCUCAUUUUAACCCUUCGUGGCCAGUUUUGGUGCCUCAUAUUGUCAGUAAUGGUUCAGUGGCUCGUCCUGGUCCCUUCUGCGCCGUCUUCACUCCUCAGCCGUGUAGAGCAAGCCUCGCGGCUCUGGUGGCCUAUGAAGACCCCUGCUGCUCCUCUCGAGUGUUUGGAGCACGUCUGAAGGUUUACUCUGCUCCCGCUCCACACCUGCAGACGAUCCGGACGGAUGGAGACGUUCAGGAGCGCUUCAGACACUGGCAGAGACUCCGGGAGACCACCAGACUCUUCUGCUCCAGGAGAUCAGACGCAGACGCUCUGGCCUGCUUCUUCACACGUGUGCUUCCCUCUCUCUCCGCUCUCCGUCCAGAUCUGUCGUUCUCUGCCGCCGUGAACACAGCCCUGCAGGACUGGAACAACAUCUCCGUCUCUGAACGCCAGACACACUACAACACUGCCAGGACGUUCACCGAGAUGGAAAAACAGGACAAGAGCGCCGACAGAGAUCCAACGGCUCCUCAAACAGACAAACACAAAGGUCAACACCCGGAAGGGAAGAAAACAGAGAAAAGAUCGAAAAAGGGCGUCCAGGAGCUCGCCGAGGGUGCGCUGGCCGAGUACUCACAGCUCAUGGACGCUCUGGAGUCAAAGGUCAGCGAUGGGUCAGAGGUCACAGCAGCUGAAGACGAGGAUGUGUGCGCGCUGUUCAUCAAUCAGCUGCUCGGCGAUACGACUGAGGCUGGUUUGGACAUGGACUACAUCAGCUCUCUGCUCUCCACAGAGGAUUCCCAGGACACACUUCCCGGGAUGAAUCCCGAGCCAGUCGCUGGCUGCUCCGAUUGGAUCUCUGAAGAUCAGAUUGUGUCUCCGUCCGCCGUCCAGAAGGAUUUCAGCACCUCGGACAGCACACAUCACAUGAUGGAGAACGUAUUAGUGCCAUUUCAGGACAACACCAAUGCGUUUCAAACAUUAGCUCAACCUCUGCUAGCGAACCCCGAGGGCCUAAGUGCUCGAACGGAUCCAAACGCUUCAGUCCAAGAAGCUCCUCAUCCUGAUCUUCACAACUUUGGUCCAGAAGUUGACGGAAACCAAAAAGACGAGACUUUGUCUGUUGCUGAACUUGAUUACGCCACUCAACCCAACUGCUUCAGUCUUCAGAACUACAAUUCCCAUCAUGCAGCAUUCCCUAAAAAUGACCCAGAACCACCAGAAACCCCUGUGAAUGAGCACCGCGGAGAGGUAAACAUGGUAGUUGGACAAAAGACGGAGGAAUGUAUGCAUGUAGGACGUAUAAAAGACAAGAAUAACAUGGAUUCAGAAACUCCCAUCAAGUCCCAGAGAACGAGAAGUGUUUGUUCCAAACAGACAUUGUCCAACAUUGAGGAAAAUAAUGUACACGAAAAUAAAAAACACAAAAGACAGAAGCCUAAAUUGGACGAUAAAGACAAAAGGAGGUUAAAAACUGUUGAAAACGGAUGUAGAAGGACUCAAAGGAAAUCAGUCAUGAAACGCAGAGCUCGAGCGAAAAAAACGGAUUCAAAAAUAAUGGUGAAAAAAGUUGAAAUCCAGCAGCGUGUGAACAUAACCGAGACGAGGUCCUCAGCAAUGGGAAGUGGAAACUUACACAAACAUGAUGCACAGAUCAGGAAAACUAGGGGACAACAUUUGGUGGAGGAAUGUGAGAGAUUAAAAACCAUCAGACAAGAGCAGCGAACAACAACGUCCAGAAAAACAGCUAAACUUAUCGGUCGAAGAGGACCGUGCUGA